rnacentral:rRNA from 1 species
CGGGUGAGUAACGCGUGGGUAACCUGCCUCAUACAGGGGGAUAACAGUUAGAAAUGACUGCUAAUACCGCAUAAGACCACAGUACUGCAUGGUACAGUGGUAAAAACUCCGGUGGUAUGAGAUGGACCCGCGUCUGAUUAGGUAGUUGGUGAGGUAACGGCCCACCAAGCCGACGAUCAGUAGCCGACCUGAGAGGGUGACCGGCCACAUUGGGACUGAGACACGGCCCAG